UGUCUGCUUCGUGUACACCUGUCGUGAUACUUUUUUGUUUAUUUUCCCUGUCGUGCCUACCAACUUCACGGGACUCGGAUGUCUGGUUCGUGCUCGCCUUUCGUGAUAGUUUUUUGUUUAUUUUCCCUAACGUGUUUAUCAACUUCACGAGGCUUAGGUUGGCAAUGCAGUACAGCGGUGAAAUCUUAUAUUUUUAGGAGGUUCACAAUCCGUUUCCCCAUCCAUUUCUCUCAGUCAAUCACUUGUUUACCAUUUCUUCAAUCUGACAUUCCGUGGCCUAUUCAUCGGCGCCAUUGCGACCCGCGUACAACACGGACCAACAAUUGUGUAGAAGUAAUGGCCGACACAUUCACGGGGUAUGUGUAACCUGAAUAUUGUGCCCCACCCUACCCAACCUACCCUACUAACCCCGCCUUGGCUGUAGACAUGAUUUCUUACAGUUCACUCGCUGUAACAGGGUGUUAGUGGAGUGUAGGCAGGACGAGUCCUGAAACUACUGUAGGUGCCGGACAACGGUAUUAGUGACUCAGUUGCUACCUGUAUAGUCCUGUGGACAUCAUCGUCCAUUUUAUGUUCACCUCACGUGGUAUUAACAGUCUCACGAUUGUCACAAGUCGCACGAAAAAUGUGAGAGGAGAUGAACUUUAAGGUUGCAUACACUUACCCACCAGCAGCCAACAAAAGAGAGUAUACUAAACAACUUUAUUUACUCUAAUCUGUGUUCACAACCUUAGAGAAAUAAACCAUCUUCAGCUCUUACUGUUCAUAUAUUUUGUAAUUUAUUGCUAUGGUAACCGCUCUUACAAGACAGCCAAAGGGAAAGAGGACCAACUGUUGCUGUUCAUAAUGUCACAUCAGCCCAUCCCAGACACAGGACAGAAGCAAAGGCCAUUAGGAAAGAUCACGUGGUGGUGUGGUGUUUAACCUGCAGAUGCCUCCGCCUCCCCCUGACGCUAAUUAAAGAGCGCACCUGUCAAAGGAGCGGAGAGAGAGAAGCCUUUCCCUUCAGAGUUUGAGAUGGCAAAGAUGAAUAAUGCACCGACGCUGUGUGACGUGUGGCGCCAUCAGAUCGAGGCUACGGGAGCACCGUUGGCCAGUGUUUGCCGACACCUACGUAACGGAGCAAGAACCUGUUUGUGGAGGAGACGAGAGGAAGGCGAGGACCGUUAGCCUCCAUUGUCACGACCCUUGUGCUGCUCACAAUACAGUUUCGUCCUCCCUGGAGGCCGUCUCCGGACACCGAGCUCUGGCAUCGGCGAGUGCGCCUCACCUCUGGUGUCAGAGCCAGAUGAUGGACGCAACUGUUUCCAGCCUUCGACUCCCGAGAGAGAAAACAUUAAAGCUUAUGUUUCACAGAUGUGUUGUUGAUUUUUCGCCGCUGCAGCUGUCGCGCGAUAAGCGCGUGCAGUUAACGGUGUGUCCAUUGGAGCUUUUUGCAGCAUGAGUCUCAAGGACACGAGACAGAAAAGUUCCAGAACUGGAAUCAAGCCAAAUUGUUGUCAAGGUAUCUCCAAAACUUAGCUCAUAGAAACAGAGAAUAGAGGAGGAAUGUGUGAUGGACGGGGAAGGAAGACAGACAGAGACAGGGAGGGAAGACAACUGUAGUCGGUGUUCCGAGGCAGCUCUCUAGUUUUGUUUCAAACAUAAGGACAGCAAAUGAUGCGAAGUCACGCACGGCGCAAGCAUCCGUAGAACUGGCGUUAUGCACGCACCGUUAGUCACAGAGAAUGUUCACAGUUCACAGGCCGCAGUGUCAAGGCCGUGCAGCCACACACGCAUCAGCGCGUGGAGACAUGUGCGGAAAUGAUUUCACGAGGACUCCUGCAGGAACACGAACAGAAUUAAAGAACGAAUGAAGAUAGAAAGGAAAAAAGAAUAGCUCUCAAACAAAAAACAAAACAAGGAAAUAAU